rnacentral:tRNA from 1 species
GGUAAAGUAGCCUAGUAGGCGGUGGGUUGUAGCCCCGACGACGGGGGUUCAAGUCCCUCCUUUACUA